CUCACAUACAUAAGGACUAAGGCAAUCUCUUUAUCUCAGUGUAUCACAUCUGUUACUUAAGUUUUAUUACUAUUGUAGUAACCAUAGUAUUUCACUUAUCUAUUGAUAUAUCUAUUUGAUUAGCAGUGCAUAAAAUGCAUGCAGUGUUAUGUCUCUGAUAUUGACAAUGAAGCAACUCUGCCCUUUCAUGUCACUCAAACAAAAGAAGGUAACUUGCUAUUAAUUUAAAGCAAGUAUUAAUAAAGUAAAAAUAUCCUAUAUCUGUUGGUUUCAGUGAGUUUGUUAGAUAUUGAAAUAGAAGUAACAUAUUGUCACUGUAUGAUAUAUAAAAUUUUACUGCAGACUUCAAAGUUCAUUAAUUACAAUAUCAUUAAACUUUAAAGUCAGAAUUGAUAAUGAGGGAUCAUUGAAGAAAUACUUUUUUAUAUUGAAACACAAUUAACAGGAAUCUGUCACUUACUGUAGCAAUCAAAGCAUGUUUUCACAGUUUAUGGGAGGGCCCUAAUUGGCACUAGUCUGUGUAUCUUUUAUGGCCCCUAAUAAACAGUUAGAGGGUCCAAUGUUUAUCUAAGUGGCCCAGUGUUACUGUUAGUUUUACAAACUGUGUUUCAUAAAUGAUGACACAAAACUGUGUCAAUGAUUUAAAACACUAAAUUGGGGCAUGAGUCUUAAUGCAACAUAAGAUCAACUUAAUUAUUUGAAUGAUAACAAAAAUAUAUAUAACA